rnacentral:rRNA from 1 species
GACGAACGCUGGCGGCGUGCUUAACACAUGCAAGUCGAACGCUGAAGCUCAGCUUGCUGGGUGGAUGAGUGGCGAACGGGUGAGUAACACGUGAGUAACCUGCCCUCUUCUUUGGGAUAACGCCCGGAAACGGGUGCUAAUACUGGAUAUUCACUGAUUCUCGCAUGGGGGUUGGUGGAAAGGUUUUUUCUGGUGGGGGAUGGGCUCGCGGCCUAUCAGCUUGUUGGUGGGGUGAUGGCCUACCAAGGCUUUGACGGGUAGCCGGCCUGAGAGGGUGACCGGUCACAUUGGGACUGAGAUACGGCCCAGACUCCUACGGCAGGUAGCAGUGGGGAAUAUUGCACAAUGGGCGAAAGCCUGAUGCAGCGACGCCGCGUGAGGGAUGGAGGCCUUCGGGUUGUAAACCUCUUUCGCUCAUGGUCAAGCCGCAGCUUUGGGUUGUGGUGAGGGUAGUGGGUAAAGAAGCGCCGGCUAACUACGUG